GGGCCUUUAGCUCAAAGGUUAGAGCAAAUGACUCAUAAUCAUUAGGUUGUAGGUUCAAGCCCUACAAGGCCCAC
rnacentral:tRNA from 1 species